rfam:Mortierella elongata AG-77 unplaced genomic scaffold K457scaffold_64, whole genome shotgun sequence.
AUAUGUGUUUUGAAUUUUGAGCAAUGCUCUCAAAGUCGAAACCUUGUGCCAACCCUCUGACUUUCAAAUUAAAAGAAGUUAUCAUUCAUUGGGUUAUGGCUGAACGCCUCCAAGUCAGAACUCGUGCUAGAACGCGACAAUUACCAACUUACGAAUAGAUCUUCGGAUCCUGAAUCAUACUACAAGGAGUCGAUCUUGCAGAGUGGAAAGACUUUGUGAGAUUCUUCCUAUUGUUAGUUUCAAAUAUCGGAAGAGAUAAAUCCAUUGCAGACGACUUUAAUUGAAUGGGGCGUUGAAAGCAAUAGAGUAGCCUUGUUGCCACGAUCUGCUGAGAUUGACCCCAUUGCUCUAUAGAUUU